rnacentral:rRNA from 1 species
AUACGGAGGGUGCAAGCGUUACUCGGAAUCACUGGGCGUAAAGCGCGCGCAGGCGGUCUUUUAAGUUGGAUGUGAAAGCCUACGGCUCAACCGUAGAACUGCAUCCAAAACUAUUAGACUAGAGUGUGGGAGAGGAAGAUGGAAUUAGUUGUGUAGGGGUAAAAUCCGUAGAGAUAACUAGGAAUACCAAAAGCGAAGGCAAUCUUCUGGAACACUACUGACGCUGAGGCGCGAAAGCGUGCGGAGCAAACAGGAUUAGAUACCCUAGUAGUCC